UACAGAGGGUGCUAGCGUUGUUCGGAAUUAUUGGGCGUAAAGCGCGUGUAGGCGGCCUUGCAAGUUGGGUGUGAAAGCCCUCGGCUUAACCGAGGAAGUGCGCCCAAAACUACAAGGCUUGAGUACCGGAGAGGAUGGUGGAAUUCCCGGUGUAGAGGUGAAAUUCGUAGAUAUCGGGAGGAACACCAGUGGCGAAGGCGGCGAUCUGGGAAGAUACUGACGCUGAGGUGCGAAAGCGUGGGGAGCAAACAGG
rnacentral:rRNA from 1 species